CAACUGUGUGUAAACGUAUCGCGCGUAAAAAUAUAUUACACAACGUUAUAACGAAUUCAAAAAGACCGCUUGGCAUCGCCCCGUAUUAUAUACGCCGUCUCGGCGGCGGCGGUAGCUAUAUCGCUUUUUUAUAUAUACGCCACUUAACCUAGAAAUAGACAGGAGGCGAUUCCAAGAUUAACUCAAUGCGUUCUAUUUUUAAUCCCCGUCGCUGGCUAUAGUAUAUGAUGACACGCACACACGGCACGCCGCCGUGCGUCUUGCGGUCAUC